rnacentral:rRNA from 1 species
GACGGAGGAUGCAAGCGUUAUCCGGAAUUAUUGGGCGUAAAGGGCUCGUAGGCGGUUUGUCGCGUCGGGAGUGAAAACCAGGUGCUUAACACCUGGCUUGCUUUCGAUACGGGCAGACUAGAGGUAUGCAGGGGAGAACGGAAUUCCUGGUGUAGCGGUGAAAUGCGCAGAUAUCAGGAGGAACACCGGUGGCGAAGGCGGUUCUCUGGGCAUGACCUGACGCUGAGGAGCGAAAGUGUGGGGAGCGAACAGG